AUAACUGUUCAGACGAGGUUAGGAAUGAAGGAGUAACGCCCUGAAACUAACCCGGUGAGAUUCCCGACUGCGUAAAGUGGGCACACUUUGACGUGGAAAGCAGGGUAAAACAUGCAGGCAAGCCCCGUAGUGCUGAAAAGUAACCGAAAGCCAUG
rnacentral:ncRNA from 1 species